rnacentral:tRNA from 1 species
CGGCAGUAGCGCAGCUUGGUAGCGCAACUGGUUUUUAGGACCAGUGGGUCGGAGGUUCGAAUCCUCUCUCGCCGACCA